GAGUUUGAUUCAUGGCUCAGGAUGAACGCUAGCUACAGGCUUAACACAUGCAAGUCGAGGGGAAACGGAACAUCGAAAGCUUGCUUUUGUAUGGUCGUCGACCGGCGCACGGGUGGAGUAACGCGUAUCCAACCUCGCCCACUCACUUGGGGAUAACCUUGCGAAAGUAAGACUAAUACCCAAUGAUAUCUCUAGAAGACAUCUGAAAGAGAUUAAAGAUUUAUCGGUGAUGGAUGGGGAUGCGUCUGAUUAGCUUGUUGGCGGGGUAACGGCCCACCAAGGCAACGAUCAGUAGGGGUUCUGAGAGGAAGGUCCCCCACAUUGGAACUGAGACACGGUCCAAACUCCUACGGGAGGCAGCA
rnacentral:rRNA from 1 species